GCUUGUAAUCACAGUGCUGGGUGGCUGGCCCUUCUAACCUACUCAAUAAGUUCCAGGUCAGUGAGAGAUUCUGUCUCAAAACACAAGGUGGAUGGCAUUGGAAGCGUUAGGUGUUCUCUGUCCUCCACACGUGUGUUUACACAGACACACGUGGACACACAUAUGCACACAAAAUAAAUCAGUAAAACAACGUUAAAUUGCUAAUUGACGGGCAAUGCAGGCACAUACUUAGGGGCACGAUGUAUCAGUGUGUGCACAUGUGAGGAACGGUACCAAGAUGACCAGGUUCCUGGAACCUCUCUCUUCCUCUGUGUUUUAGUCUCUGAAUGAAACAUAAAGCAAGCAGCUGUGAGCUACCACACACUGCCCAGGGUGCUAUGGACUACUGCAAAUGUCAACCUUGGCAAGUAGCCAACUGUGAAGUAGAAAACCACAGCAGCCUGAGACCUCUGUUAACUGAAGCAAGAGUUUUUUAAGUGUGGUAAAGCGUUCUUAUUCCCACCCCCUCAAGGACAGGUUGCAUUCUGAAAGUUUUGCUUUAGUUGUUAAUGUGAGUAAAGAUGAAUCCAGAAGCUAAGGAGAGAGUGGAUGGAAAACCAAUUGUGUGCCUCGGAGAUGGGCUUGUGUUUGGUCACAAUGGACAUGUACCAUGACCCACCAGGGCAUAUAGUCUUGUCUCCUAAUCCCCGCAUGUGGCUUUGAACAUUCAAUGGGUGCCCUGCGGACAGCUGAGCACUCACCCUCAGCUCAUAUGGAUGAAGGAAGCAUGCUGGCAGGAACCAUGGUUGCAUGACGGGACCUUCAUGGUGUUAAUAUGUUAGAUUUCCUGUUCUGUACUAAUGGAUUUGAAAAGAUUUAAAACCACAAAAUAAGGCUGCCUCCUAGGCUAUCUUCCAGAAAAUAUAUAAAGCAUGCAGAUUAUACUCUGUGGAGGAAGGACCAGCCUUGGGAUGUUUCCAGAGAGAUGUGCAAUGAUACAGCAUCUACACUUCUGUCGCUGCGCUGUUAGCCACUGUGUGGAAAACAGAUGUUCCAGUUGUGAAGCACAAGGGCAGAAGCUGCAACAACAGGAGUGAGCAGGCUUGGGUGUGAUCAAUUCUGAGGGAGUUUGUCAGAGCUACGGAAGGGUGUGAACAAAAUGAAGGCAUCAUCUAUGACUGAUGGAAUCUACAGAGGGUGUGAACAAAACAAAGGCAUUGUCCAUGACUGCUGAAAUGAAGCCACCACUUUCUGAGUAGGAAAUAUGGAAAAUAAUGGAUCAGAUUUGUCGCUAAGCAAAGCUGAAAAAAAAUCAAGAUUUGCCAAGGAUCUCACAGAUGCCAAGUUGGAAUGUGUUCCCCAAACUUCAGAUGGUUAUAACGUUGAUGCAUGGGGUGCAGGUACCACUGAGCGCCAGCAUCAUUGAAGUGAUUUGUGGCAGUUUAUUUGCCUAAUGGAAAUGGAUCCACCGUGUUGGAAGUGUCUCUCUCUCUCUCUCUCCCUGGCUCCCUCCUCAUCAGUCACCUGCAUUUCAGGGGAAGGGAAGGCUCAGGUUCUAACAGUGCCAACAGAGAGCACCUCAGGGCCCACAGACCACACCUCCAGCCCUGGUGAGCUCUUCUUGGUGAAAACCCCCAAUCCGGUAUUUUUCCUGUAUGAGAGGAGGGCAAAUUGAUCAUCGUCGAUGCCAUCCCAGUCACAGUUCACUGUUUCUAACUUGAGAAGCAAGUUUAGGGAGGAACACUGGGGCCUCUGGACAGCUCUGUGGCAGAGACUCUCUCCAGGACAAACUCUUGAAACAGGCUAAGGGUCAGAUUUGAGAAAGUGAAAGACAAGCGCUCUGUGUCCCCUGUGAGAAGACAAUGUCUCAGACGGUUAAGUCCAUGUUAUCCGUCACGCACACCAUGCUCCUCGGUCGGUUAUCUUCCAGUGAGCACAGCAACGCCCAGCAGUGUUUCAGGGCACUGAACACUACGCUGAAUGUUCAGGGACAUUUAUUCUCUUACCCACAAAAACUCUUAGUUUUCCACCUAAUUCUUAGAACCAAUGUAGAAAAAUGCAUGCUUCCAGAGAGAUGGCAAAGACACACCCUUCUACAAAGUUAGUUGUCAAGGGUGGGUCUUAACCUGGGCUUCAGUCACUGCUCUCAAAAGAAGACUGAGUCAUGGGAGACCCAGGCACCGGGAACCAUGCCAGAUGGAUGACAGGAGCUUCUAGGGUUUCCCUCUGCCUUACGCUCUGAGUCUUAGAGCUAAAAGCCAGCAAGCCAGAAGCGCUAGUGGGUGCAGAAGAAGCUUGGGCUAGAGGAACCAGAGGAUUCGGAUGGUGCUGCAUGCAGGACAGCAUGCUGUCUGUGCUGAGCACACGCCUCCUUCUCAUCCCAGGCUGUGUGAUUCUCCUGUCUGUCGUCUGUCACAUCUAUGCGGUGGGCAUCUCAAGUCUGGGGCCUGCUAAGCUAAGAUGAAUCUAAAUGAAGGUCAUUUUUACUGCAAACUGAAGACCCUACUCAGGCCUAGGCAGCAGCCCAGAGCCCUGGGAAGCCUGGCAGCAUUCUUUGUAAGCCAGUGUUGCCCGCUGGGGAGUGCCCUUCUUCAGUCUAGUCCUGCCUUGUGCUCCCAACACAUGUAGAAAAUGAAAUUAAACAAAGGCUUGUUUCUAACUGAGAUGAUAAGCACCUGAGGAGGUAAAGAGUCCUGCCUGCACAGACCUGCCACCAUGGAGCCAACUGUCAGCAUGAUGAGCUGUUGCUAGAGUUUUCCUGCCUUGCCCACAGUCAGGACAAAUCUUUGUCACCCGCCAGUCCCACAGCCGCUCAGA